UGGGGAAUUUUGGACAAUGGGGGCAACCCUGAUCCAGCCAUCCCGCGUGUGCGAUGAAGGCCUUCGGGUUGUAAAGCACUUUUGGCAGGGAAGAAACAGCCUGGGCUAAUAUCCCGGGCGACUGACGGUACCUGCAGAAUAAGCACCGGCUAACUACGUGCCAGCAGCCGCGGUAAUACGUAGGGUGCGAGCGUUAAUCGGAAUUACUGGGCGUAAAGGGUGCGCAGGCGGUCUUGCAAGUCAGAUGUGAAAGCCCCGGGCUUAACCUGGGAAUUGCGUUUGAAACUACAAGACUAGAGUGCAGCAGAGGGGAGUGGAAUUCCAUGUGUAGCAGUGAAAUGCGUAGAGAUGUGGAAGAACACCGAUGGCGAAGGCAGCUCCCUGGGUUGACACUGACGCUCAUGCACGAAAGCGUGGGGAGCAAACA
rnacentral:rRNA from 1 species